UACGUAGGGGGCAAGCGUUGUCCGGAAUCAUUGGGCGUAAAGCGCGUGUAGGCGGUCCGGUAAGUCCGCUGUGAAAGUCCAGGGCUCAACCCUGGGAUGCCGGUGGAUACUGUCGGGCUAGAGUACGGAAGAGGCGAGUGGAAUUCCCGGUGUAGCGGUGAAAUGCGCAGAUAUCAGGAGGAACACCGAUGGCGAAGGCAGGUCUCUGGGCCAUAACUGACGCUGAGAAGCGAAAGCAUGGGGAGCGAACAGG
rnacentral:rRNA from 1 species